rnacentral:misc_RNA from 1 species
AACGCAUAUUGCGCUCUCUGGUACUCCGGAGAGCAUGCCUGUUUGAGGGUAAUUAACAGAAUCUUUAUAACCUCUUUCUUGGUUAAAGGAUAUGGGCAUUCCGCGAUUAGCGGUGGCCUAAAAUAUAUGGUCAGUCUCAUCGAGAGGAGAUGCGUAAUAAUUGUUAUUUCGCAAAAACAUUUGAUGGGCUACCAAGUUUUGAUUCAUUCAACUAUGUUGGGUGCGGUUAAAACAAAUAUUUUUGACAUUACCUCAAAUCAGGUAGGAAUACCCGCUGAACUUAA